CUGACGUGGGUGCUAGCCUCUAAGAUUUAGCCAUGCAUGCUUUGUGAACCCAGACGGGGGAACGGCGAACGGCUCAGUAAUGUUGCGGUGAUCUGCUCUGGUUGAAAAAGAUAACCACGGUAAACUGUGGCUAAGAAACCAGAAUGAGCUGCAACCCUAUCAGUUUGUUGGAAGUGUAAAAGACUCCCAAGACGUCGACGGGUAACGGGAAAUCAGUGUUUGAUUCCGGAGAGGGAGCCUAAGAGAUGGCUCCCACGUCCAAGGAUGGCAGCAGGCGCGAAAAUUGUCCACUCUUUGGAGAGGAGACAGUUAUGAGGCGUGAUUAAAAGAGCGAAGUGUAAACACCUUCGUGUAACGCAAUUGGAGGGCAAGUUUUGGUGCCAGCAGCCGCGGUAAUUCCAACUCCAAGAGUGCCCAUGGUGGAUGCUGCAGUUAAAAAGUCCGUAGUCGUAGAUGCAAUUAAAGGGUGCGGAUCAAGCGCACUGAGCUUGUCGAGUUGUAGCGGAGCGGAUAGGGAGCAUGGUAUAGGUUGGCGAAGAAUGAAAUCUCAAGACCCAACCUGGACCAACUGAGGCGAAAGCGGUGCUCUUAUACGCAUCCGAGGAUCAAGGACGAAGGCUGGAGGAUCGAAAGUGAUUAGAUACCGCUGUAGUUCCAGCAGUAAACUAUGCCGACAUUCUCUGUCCAGCGGACGGGGAAGGGAGAAAUCUUAGUUUUCGGGCUCUGGGGAUAGUACGCUUGCAAGAGUGAAACCUAAAGCGAAAUUGACGGAAGGACACUACCAGGAGUGGAUUGUACCGCUUAAUUUGACUCAACGCGGGAAAACUUACCAGGGUCAAGUUCUCCGUAGAUCGAGUACGUGAGGGGAACGAGAGUGGUGCAUGGCCGUUGGAAAUUGAUGGGAUGACUUUUAGCUUAAAUGCUGAAACCAGUGAGAUUUUCUAGACAGGUGCCAUCCGGCACAGGAGGGCGAAGGCGAUAACAGGUCCGUGAUGCCCUUAGAUAUCCUAGGCUGCAAGUGCAAUACAAUAUCCAUGUCGAUCAAGAAAGGUGAUUAUGGAUGAGCAGGAUUAGCUCUUGUAAAUGAGCUAUGAAUGAGGAAUUCCUAGUAACAGUGUCUCACUAAGGCAUUGUGAAUGCGUCCCUGUUCUUUGUACACACCGCCCGUCACUAUUUCAGAUGGCCAUGAAGAUGAAGAGCUUCGGUUCUGAAUAUUCAUGUCUAGAUAAAGUACAAGUCGUAACAAGGUUGC
rnacentral:rRNA from 1 species